GGGCGCGUAGCAUAAUUGGGAGUGCGUCAUCCCUGCAAGAUGAAUGGUGAGAGUUCGAGUCUCUUCGCGUCCA
rnacentral:tRNA from 1 species